rnacentral:rRNA from 1 species
UACGUAGGGACCGAGCGUUGUCCGGAUUCAUUGGGCGUAAAGAGCUCGUAGGCGGCCACUCAAGUCGAACGUGAAAACUCGGGGCUCAACCCCGAGCCCGCGUUUCGAUACUGGGCGGCUAGAGUCUGGUAGGGGGAUCUGGAAUUCCUGGUGUAGCGGUGAAAUGCGUAGAUAUUGGGAGGAACACCAGUGGCGAAGGCGGCUCACUGGACCGGAACUGACGCUGAGGAGCGAAAGCGUGGGUAGCAAACAGG